rnacentral:rRNA from 1 species
UACGGGGGGGGCAAGCGUUGUUCGGAAUUACUGGGCGUAAAGGGCUCGUAGGCGGCCAACUAAGUCAGACGUGAAAUCCCUCGGCUUAACCGGGGAACUGCGUCUGAUACUGGAUGGCUUGAGAUUGGGAGAGGGAUGCGGAAUUCCAGGUGUAGCAGUGAAAUGCGUAGAUAUCAGGAGGAAUACCGAUGGCGAAGGCAGGUCUCUGGGCUGACACUGACGCUCAUGCACGAAAGCGUGGGGAGCAAACAGG